rnacentral:rRNA from 1 species
CCGGCACGGGUGAGUAACACGUAUCCAACCUGCCGUCUACUCUUGACAGCCUUCUGAAGGAAGAUUAAUACAAGAUGGCAUCAUGAGUCCGCAUGUUCACAUGAUUAAAGGUAUUCCGGUAGACGAUGGGGAUGCGUUCCAUUAGAUAGUAGGCGGGGUAACGGCCCACCUAGUCUUCGAUGGAUAGGGGUUCUGAGAGGAAGGUCCCCCACAUUGGAACUGAGACACGGUCCAA